AGAGUUUGAUCAUGGCUCAGGACGAACGCUGGCGGCGUGCCUGAUACAUGCAAGUAGAACGCUGAAGAGAGGAGCUUGCUCUUCUUGGAUGAGUUGCGAACGGGUGAGUAACGCGUAGGUAACCUGCCUUGUAGCGGGGGAUAACUAUUGGAAACGAUAGCUAAUACCGCAUAACAAUGGAUGACACAUGUCAUUUAUUUGAAAGGGGCAAUUGCUCCACUACAAGAUGGACCUGCGUUGUAUUAGCUAGUAGGUGAGGUAAUGGCUCACCUAGGCGACGAUACAUAGCCGACCUGAGAGGGUGAUCGGCCACACUGGGACUGAGACACGGCCCAGACUCCUACGGGAGGCAGCAGUAGGGAAUCUUCGGCAAUGGGGGCAACCCUGACCGAGCAACGCCGCGUGAGUGAAGAAGGUUUUCGGAUCGUAAAGCUCUGUUGUAAGUCAAGAACGGGUGUGAGAGUGGAAAGUUCACACUGUGACGGUAGCUUACCAGAAAGGGACGGCUAACUACAUGCCAGCAGCCGCGGUAAUACGUAGGUCCCGAGCGUUGUCCGGAUUUAUUGGGCGUAAAGCGAGCGCAGGCGGUUUGAUAAGUCUGAAGUUAAAGGCUGUGGCUCAACCAUAGUUCGCUUUGGAAACUGUCAAACUUGAGUGCAGAAGGGGAGAGUGGAAUUCCAUGUGUAGCGGUGAAAUGCGUAGAUAUAUGGAGGAACACCGGUGGCGAAAGCGGCUCUCUGGUCUGUAACUGACGCUGAGGCUCGAAAGCGUGGGGAGCGAACAGGAUUAGAUACCCUGGUAGUCCACGCCGUAAACGAUGAGUGCUAGGUGUUGGAUCCUUUCCGGGAUUCAGUGCCGAAGCU
rnacentral:rRNA from 1 species